rnacentral:lncRNA from 1 species
GUGACUAUAGUCCUCCUUGUCUAUAGGCGCGCGGCGGCUGUCUCGCCUAGGCCCGGUCUCGGGGCGUGACAGUUAAGGCGUGAUUAAUUAAGCAUUAACCAUCAGUGGAUCACAAAAGCUCAUAUAUAUUGACGACAGAAAUUUCUUUACAUAUACAAAUAGACAAAAUACAUUAAAAUCUCUAGUCGUUUCCCACCCACUGGUCGAGCCUAUUCUUGGAUGACAUCUUCUGGGCAUACUUAAGUUACACCGACUGCAUCUAAGAAAUAGAGAAGACAAGGGUGAGUACGAUAAAUCAUACUCAGCAAGCAAAUACUUCACUAUUCAAUAAGGAGCAAUGGUAUGAUGGUGUAGAUCAACAGACGAACUGAAUUCAGAGGAUAACAAUGUAACAACCAUUGGAAUCAUAUUUUGAUGUAAAUGGACAAAAGAACAAAAUACCAGAUUUAGUAAAAACAACAAGGAAUCUAUUGGCGUCACACAUGACCGCAAGCUUCCCAACCCGGGAGUCACAGGGUGAAAUUUCACACUUUUACGCUCUUAAGAGGGGUACUCCGACGUCGACAGCCUCGACUAGAACCACACAGGUUCCAGAAGAGCAGAGCUCUUUUACCCACUAAGUCCCGGACACCUGUACCUACUUAUGUCGGUCGCUCCUACGGAUCCAUCACCGACACGUUCCCGAACAAGAUCCGACCUUAACGGAGAGCCCAGACAGUCCCAUACCUAAACUGUGACCGGUACAAUACGUUUGCAGUCGUGACACCAAUAUAGAUGGAUGUGUGUUUGAAUCAACAUUAGGACCACUGAAGUAUCGGUCAAAGACAAUACACUCAUGGCUUUUCAUGAGUUCCUCCAAAAUACUCUGAUUCCAUCAACAAAUGGAUUAUGAGGAAAACACAUCCCUCUUUCAAGGAUCAAUAGAGGAUCAACAAAGAUCAAGGUGCAAUGAUAUUACCAGAUAAUCAAGCAAGACAACAAUAAGGAGAGAUCAGGGAGUUUAGCAAAGCAGCUACUUGCCUCAGAUAAUAUGAUUUCUCCUUUAGAAUAAUACUCUGCAAGAAGAUGAAACUCCAUCAUCUUUGUAUAAAAUCUGACGACCGCGCAUAUACUAAUAUUCUUCUGACGUAUGGCUUUGUUCUUCCCUCCAUCAGCAUCUACACGAUCUAUAUAUCUUCAAACAUGGACGCAUGCAUACUUGUAUUCUUCAUCUCUCUUCUCUUCGCUCUCUCCGCUGGUAUGCUCUAUUUCUCUCAUGCUCUCUCCUAGUAUCUUCUCUUCGCUCUAUUUCUCUCAUGCUCUCACUCUUGGUGAUGAGGAUGUGCAAAACGAGUAGCAGUAGCUAUUUAUAGAUGGUGAGCCCAGAGUGAACUCAGCCGAGCUGUUCUUGAAGCACACAAUCAUCUAGACUCUACCUAUUACGUGGCAUGCAUGCCUUGGUCUACGUGGAGAACCUGGUAAAAGAUCUAAGCCGCAAUGGCCUUUGACCCUUGCCCCUUGACCCUUCGAACUGCUG